AAUGAACGCUGGCGGCAGGCCUAACACAUGCAAGUCGAGCGAGCAUUUCGGUGCUAGCGGCGGACGGGUGAGUAACGCGUGGGAACGUGCCCUUUUCUGCGGAAUAGUCCUGGGAAACUGGGGGUAAUACCGCAUACGCCCUUUUGGGGAAAGAUUUAUCGGAGAAGGAUCGGCCCGCGUUGGAUUAGGUAGUUGGUGGGGUAAUGGCCCACCAAGCCGACGAUCCAUAGCUGGUUUGAGAGGAUGAUCAGCCACACUGGGACUGAGACACGGCCCAGACUCCUACGGGAGGCAGGAGUGGGGAAUCUUAGACAAUGGGGGCAACCCUGAUCUAGCCAUGCCGCGUGAGUGAUGAAGGCCUUAGGGUUGUAAAGCUCUUUCAGCUGGGAAGAUAAUGACGGUACCAGCAGAAGAAGCCCCGGCUAACUCCGUG
rnacentral:rRNA from 1 species